GACGGGGGGGGCAAGUGUUCUUCGGAAUGACUGGGCGUAAAGGGCACGUAGGCGGUGAAUCGGGUUGAAAGUGAAAGUCGCCAAAAAAGUGGCGGAAUGCUCUCGAAACCAAUUCACUUGAGUGAGACAGAGGAGAGUGGAAUUUCGUGUGUAGGGGUGAAAUCCGUAGAUAUCGGAAGGAACACCAGUGGCGAAAGCGGCUUCCUGGUCCAGCACCGACGUCAGGCACGAAAGCGUGGGGAGCAAACAGG
rnacentral:rRNA from 1 species